rnacentral:rRNA from 1 species
CCCUAUUGCUAUCGGGAUGAGACUAAGCCAUGCUAGUUGUGCGCUUCCUAGCUAUGUUGGAAGAGCAGCAAACGGCUCCGUAACACGUAGUUAAUCUGCCCUUAGGACAGACAUAACCUUGGGAAACUGAGGCUAAUAUCUGAUAGGUGGAAACGCCUGGAAUGGUCUUCCGCUUAAAGGUUUUUGGACACACGCGUCCAAGAAUGCCUAAGGAUGAGACUGCGGCCGAUCAGGCUGUUGGUGGGGUAACGGCUCACCAAACCUAUAACCGGUACGGGCCCUGAGAGGGGGAGCCCGGAGAUGGGAACUGAGACAAGGUCCCAGGCCCUACGGGGCGCAGCAGGCGCGAAAUCUCCACAAUGCGCGAAAGCGUGAUGGGGUUAUCCCGAGUGCCGUCCGUUGAGGAGGGCUUUUCCCCAGUGUAAGGAGCUGGGGGAAUAAAGGGGGGGCAAGACUGGUGUCAGCCGCCGCGGUAAUACCAGCCCCCUGAGUUAUAGGGACGAUUAUUUAGCCUAAAGCGUUCGUAGCCGGCUUAACAAGUCUUUCGUUAAAUCUAACGACUCAAUCGUUAGGCCGCGGAAGAUACUGCUAGGCUUGAGGGCGGGAGAGGUCGGCGGUAGUCCCGGGGUAGGGGUGAAAUCCAAUAAUCCCGGGAGGACCACCAGUGGCGAAGGCGGUCGACCAGAACGCGCCUGACGGUGAUGGACGAAAGCUGGGGGAGCGAACCGGAUUAGACACCCGGGUAGUCCCAGCUGUAAACGAUGCGCGCUAGGUGUUGCAUGCUCUACGAGGGCGUGCAGUGCCGAAGAGAAGUUGAUAAGCGUGCCGCCUGGGAAGUAUUACCGCAAGGUAGAAACUUAAAGGAAUUGGCGGGGGAGCACCACAAGGGGUGGAGUCUGCGGUUC